rnacentral:rRNA from 1 species
GGGGGGGGGGGGGGGGGGGGGGGGGGGGGGGGGGGCGGACGGGGGCGCGGGGGGGGCGGGCUGUGGGGGGUGGCGAGGGGAGGACGGGUGAGGAAGAGAGCGGAAUGUACUUUUUGGUGGGGGGUCCCGUAGGGCAGCUUACGCGAGUACCGGAUACGACAUACGGGUGAAAGCAUGGGCUAUUCGUCCCUUGCGCGAUUGAUUGAGCCGCUGUCGGAGUAGAUAGUGGUCGGGGUAAAGGCCCACCAAGGCGACGAUCCGUGGCUGGUCUCAGAGGAUGAUAUGCAACACUGGAACUGAGACACGGUCCAGACUCCUACGGGAGGCAGCAGUGGGGAAUAUUGGACAAUGGGCGCAAGCCUGAUCCAGCCAUACCGCGUGGGUGAAGAAGGCCUUCGGGUUGUAAAGCCCUUUUGUUGGGAAAGAAAAGCAGCAGGUUAAUACCCCGCUGUUCUGACGGUACCCAAAGAAUAAGCACCGGCUAACUUCGUG